rnacentral:rRNA from 1 species
AUGGCGCUCGCAUCGGGCUCGGGCGGCGGCGGCGGGAGCGACUUCUCCGUGAUGGUGAUAGGCUCCGACUUCGCGGUGGACGCCGGCGCGGCGCUCCUCGCCUCCCCCGCCGACCGCGAGGAGUGGCACGACUGCGCCCCCGACCUCGGCGACGACUUCUCCGACCUCGAGGAGCUCCAGGUGGUCCGCGUGCAGGGCGCGGACAGAUCCGGCCGGCCCGUCGUCCGGGUCGUCGGCAAGUUCUUCCCCGCUCCUGUUAUAGAUGGUGGACGUCUGAAGAGGGGGAUUUAUGAAGAACUUCCAGCUGAAUACAAGGAAAGGCUGCAAAUAUUCUACUUCCUGCAUCCUGGGCUUUAUUCCUGGCUCGCCAUGGCCACACUAGGCAGGCUCUUCUUAAGCGGAGGGUUGUAUUGGAAAAUCAAGUAUGUUAGUCGGCUGGAGUAUCUAUGGGGGGACAUCAAAAAGGGUGAAGUUGAGAUUCCAGAUUUUGUUACUGAACAUGACAAGAUCCUUGAGCACCGACCAUUGACAGACUAUGGUAUAGAACCUGAUCCUCUGCAUCUCGCUGAUAUACCUGCUGCGGGGUACUCACUUGGUAGGUAUGAAGACAAAUGGUCUCCUGAAGAUCGCUGGAAUUCUCGCAAUUACAUGUGA